rnacentral:lncRNA from 1 species
CCCACACACUCACACAUUUCCUUCCCCAUACCUGAACUUGACGAGGGAAGGUUCGAAGAAGGAACCACUUCAGCCAAUUCCGGAAGGAAAUAUGGGAGGAAGCUUCGAGAAAGAAUCAAAAUGUUUUCGAAAAUUUUUAUGCACAAAGACUUUCUCUAGCAUGUGACAAUCGUUCAUCCCUAUAGGACAAGUAUCACUAAUGUUCUCCCUAAACCAACUUAAUGCUUCUUUAUUAUCAAGCAAAUUAGAG